UACGUAGGGGGCUAGCGUUGUCCGGAUUCAUUGGGCGUAAGGCGCGUGUAGGCGGCCAGGUAGGUCCGAUGUGAAAACUGGAGGCUCAACCUCCAGCUGUCAUUGGAAACCAUCUGGCUAGAGUCCGGAAGAGGAGAGUGGAAUUCCUGGUGUAGCGGUGAAAUGCGCAGAUAUCAGGAAGAACACCGAUGGCGAAGGCAGCUCUCUGGGACGGUACUGACGCUGAGACGCGAAAGCGUGGGGAGCGAACAGG
rnacentral:rRNA from 1 species